GUUCUUGCAGUUCCAUCUGAUUCAUGAGUAUUAAUCUGAUAAUGACUUCUCGUCUUUAUCAACCUAGUUCUUUGUUUUCGUUAUCUAGUAAUACAUUUAUUUCUUGCUUAACUAUGUCUCCAAAUUUUGUAACAAAUUUAUUUACGAUUUUACCAAACCCAAUUGCUAAUGAAAUUUUAACAAAUAAUGUUUUUUUGCUUGGCCGGUGGCGUAAAAUUCGAAGUGAAAUAGAUAAUUUUUGUGACGAGGACGACACGAUAACUUACUAUAAAAAACUUGAUAAAUUUAGUUGGGCUGAAUGUUACAAUUUUACAUGGGGAGGGUUUUAUGAUAGCGAUUUUUUUAUCCAUUUACUUUGGAAUAAUAAUUGGGAACAAUAUUAUAAUAGUACCCGUUUAUGUUUAAAAUUUAAAUGUUAUAAAGUUCAAAAUUUUAAUUCUAUUUUUAUCUGUAAAACUUGUUACAACAAUUAUACAGCUUAUUAUUAUCACAACUCUGAUGACUUAAGUAAAUUAUCUUUUAAAAAGAUUAUUACACACAAUGCAGUCCUGGUUGAAAAUUUAACAGAUUAUACUCGUGAAGAAGAUAGUUGGUGUAGUUGGUGUAUUCAUCAGUGUUUGUUUACACUUCAGACCUACAAAAGUUGUGCCAAAAAGACGCAUCGUAAGUUUAUCGAAAAUAUUGACUUCGGCACAAGUUCUUCAUCCACAAGUUCUUCCGAUUCAGACUACUGAAUUCUUCUCUAAAACCAACAUAAAUAAUCUUUUUUUGGUAAAUUCUUUAAUUUGUUAAAUUUGUUUACCACAUUUGAUUGCUAAAAAAUGUGUUUAAUUUUUUAGGAAAAUUUUUUAUCAAACAAAAAGUCCGUUACAAAAUUCUUACGAUAAGGAAAGCGUGUUAUCUGUUAACCGCAAAAAUUGAUUAUAAAAGUUCCGUUUUUUACACAUUUCACCAGUUUUAUUAAAACUAUCUUUGUGAGAAGUUGUAUGUGCUCCGCUGUGUAUUUUUGCAUUUAAAUUUCAAAGGAUUUUAUAAUGGCUGAUCAACUAUUAAAUCUGAAUAAAAUUGCUGCCUGUGAAUAUACUGAUACAUAUGUCAGUGCCAACGAUUUGGAAGUGAACAAGAAAUAUAAAAUCAUCAAUUUAACCAAGGCAAACACACAACAUGGGGUUAUGAUGGUAGCAUAUCUGGACAACGUCGGUAAAGUUUUUUUACCUAAACGACUAACAGCAGUUAUGAAUGAUACCAUAAUUACGACAUUAAUGGAAGGACUCGGAUCUUAUUUGAUUUACAUGGGACGUAAGCAAGCUAAUGGAAAUCAGGAACAUGAUGCCCACAUUUUUAAUUUCGAACGUAUUAUUCACGAAGAUUAAUGUAAAUUUUUUGAUUAAUUCUACACUGCAACACCCCGGACGCAAGAACUAGCAAGAACUCACGCUUCAUAUUUUUAGAUAUAUUUUAUGAUAGUUUGUAGAAUAGGUAUUAUAAGUUGUAUUGGAAUUAAAUAAAAAAUAAAUCAAUCAAAUUAUU